GGAGCUACGGCUCGCGUCGCGCUCCGCCGGGACUCGGGGCGCGCGCGCUCCCCGCCCCGGCCGCCCGAAAACUCCGGCCCAGCCCGCGCCCGCCCCGCGCCCGCACGCGCGCUCACACCCCCACGCGCGCGCUCACACCCCCACGGACUUCUGGUUGGCCUCCCACCUCCACGCGCGCCCACUCCCAGUCCUGCCCGCUUCUCUGUUGCCCCGCGGGCUCCGCGGGCGAGAGCGCCGAGGGGACCCACGGCCUUUUCCCCAUGGCUGACCUGAGCUUCAUCGAAGAUUCCGUCGCCUUCCCGGAGAAGGAGGAGGAUGAAGAGGAGGAGGAGGAGGGGGUGGAGUGGGGCUACGAAGAAGGUGUUGAGUGGGGCUUGGUGUUUCCUGAUGCUAAUGGGGAAUACCAGUCCCCCAUUAAUUUAAACUCAAGAGAAGCUAGAUAUGACCCCUCACUGCUGGAUGUCCGUCUCUCCCCAAAUUAUGUGGUCUGCCGGGACUGCGAAGUCACCAACGAUGGACAUACCAUUCAGGUUAUCCUGAAGUCAAAAUCAGUUCUAUCAGGAGGUCCAUUGCCUCAAGGGCAUGAAUUUGAACUGUAUGAAGUUAGAUUUCAUUGGGGGCGAGAAAACCAGCGUGGUUCUGAGCACACAGUUAAUUUCAAAGCCUUUCCCAUGGAGCUGCAUCUGAUCCACUGGAACUCCACCCUGUUCGGCAGUAUGGACGAGGCGGUGGGGAAGCCGCACGGCAUUGCCAUCAUUGCUUUGUUUGUUCAGAUAGGAAAAGAACACGUAGGCUUGAAGGCUGUGACUGAAAUCCUCCAGGAUAUUCAGUACAAGGGGAAGUCCAAAACAAUACCCUGCUUUAAUCCUAACACUUUAUUACCAGAUCCUUUGCUUCGGGAUUAUUGGGUGUAUGAAGGCUCUCUUACCAUUCCGCCUUGCAGUGAAGGUGUUACCUGGAUUUUAUUCCGAUAUCCUUUAACGAUAUCCCAGCUGCAGAUUGAAGAAUUUCGAAGGCUGAGGACACACGUGAAGGGGGCAGAGCUUGUGGAAGGCUGUGAUGGGAUUUUGGGAGACAAUUUUAGACCCACUCAGCCACUUAGUGACAGAGUCAUUAGAGCUGCAUUUCAGUAGCCAAAGAGAAGAGGAACAAGACGGUCUUCAUCAGGAGAUAAACCGAGGCUGAAGGAGGUUGAGUAACUUGGGUCAUGGUCACAGCCAGUAAAGUACAGAGCAAGGAUUCAGACCCAGAUAUUUUCCCAGAAAUGAGACUUCUGGGAAAAAAGGACACGCAUGUUUCUGUUUUUGGUAACAUAUUGCUGCAAUACAGGCUUAUGAUAAUAAGGGUUAUGCAAAUGAUGCAGGCUGGCUGGGUCCCGGAGAACCCAGCGUGGGUCCUGCAGGACCAGCCAACAUAGUCCUUGGCUUAGUACAGGAUAGAAAUCAACCUCCAGCCAUGAGGAAGUGAGAACAAAUUUUACUGAAGACCUAGAGUGAGUGCAGAUAUGGGCAGAGCAUCUGGGAGACUUGGAAAGAAGACAGGAGAGUGAGUCUUAUUGUUGCUUGGGGUCUUGGGUUUUUACUGGGGAUUGUGGUCCAGUGCCUAUGUCUUCUCAUGCAUCCAGGAACAAAGAUGAGUGUUGAGGUGUGCUCCGCACAUCACGUACGCUCUGGAACCAGGGCUUUUGGUGUCAGUGGUCUUGGAAAAUGUUUAUGAUGACCAUGCUUGGUCACUCCUAAGAUGUUAUCUACUGAGAAACCACUAACUCCUUGACCUCUGGAGGGGGAUAGACCUAAUCUGUUCUGUGAGGCUUGUGGAAGGCAGGGGUGUAGGUCUUCACAAGAAUAAAGGCAGAAGGAGUUAAAAAAAGCAGUUUUUCAUGGGGUCCCUUUAUGUAUGUACACAAAUGCUUGUACCACUGAUUGAAUAUUUUAUAGAAAGUGUUUCUGCCAUUUUUUUCUUAUCACUCGGUAUACUUUCCACCUCUUUCUCAUUUCUUUUUUCCUCCUUGAUUUUUUGAAAUGUGUUCAUCUCCCCUCUGCCUCUUGAAAUUGCUGUGGCAAGAGUUGCCUUUGAUUUCUUUCUUUUUUUGUUCUUUGUUCCCAUGUCUCUAAAUAUGAUGCUUGUUCAGGACAAAAAAUUCAAACAGUAUGGAACAAAAUAAAGAAGAAGUAAUGGAUUUCUCAAAGCCUCCUGUCAGUAACAGCCAUCACCAGGACUGGGGUGAACAUGGAGACCCCAUAGCACAGUGGGAAGGUCUUGCGUUCCAUUUUGACUCCACCACUAAUUAGUUGCGUGAUCCUGAAAAAGUUGCUGAUGUCUCUUAAGUUAUUUUUGUCAUCAGUCACAAGAAGUCCCUAAGUACCUCAGAGUGUUACUGUGAAUAUUCACUGAGAUGAUGGAAAGGGCUUACCAUGGUUUUGGUCCACGGUGAGGAAGACAACGAUCCUAUAGUGCCCUUCGAUGAGAAACGGAAACUUUUGAGCUGCAGCUAUGGCUGACCCUCAAAGCCUGCAUUGUUUGUCUUCAUCUAACCCAGCUCUGAUGGACCUCUGUGACAGCUGCCUCUACAUGUGCUCUAAUGAAAUACUAGAAGUGGCUGUACAUUCAAAAAAACCCCAAUAUUUUAUAUCCAUACCACUGCUGCUAGGAUUCAGAUUUUAGCACAUACUGUUUUUUUGCUUAUGUGUAGAAGAAACUAGUUUUCAGAGUUGUUAUUAAUAUGAAUAUAUAUCACAUAUUAAUACUGAGACAGGAAAAAUACACUCUGUGUUAGCGGUCCUUCAUUUCCUGUCUCAGAAAAUUCACUCAUUUGGAGAAUAAUAUAAUUCUUAAUAAUAAGAGUUUUGAUCAGGGACAGCAUACGGCUUGCAAAUGGAACGUGAAAGAUUAGUGAAGGUCGUAUCGCAUGUUGUUCAGCCCUCCUGCCACAAUUAAUGUCAUGCUGGUUCUUAUGCAAAACAAUUUUGGAGUUAAUGCAACAACAGAAUCACUUUAUGUAUUUCUCAAAGGAUCAAAUUGAAUGUAGGAAUCUAAUUGAUUUAUCUGACAUAUUAGAAGCUCUGGUUUCUAGGAGUUUGAGAAAGGCAUAAAAAUGGGAUAAAAAGUAAGUGGGUACUACUUACCAGAAAAUAGCUUUAUUUUCAAUGAUAGAAACAUAAAUUUAAUAGUAUCCUAUAAUAAUUUAGUGUUGUACAUUUUGUAAGACCUUAAAAUAUUUUAUUCUAUGGAUUUUACUUUAGUAUAUUGAGACAUUGCUUUCUAAAAUAAUCCACAAUAUCUUUAUUUUAAUUAAUUUUAAGUGCUACUGGCAAUUGUAAGCAUAUGCUUAGAAGUAGUUAGAUGUGACAAAAUGAGAUAAUUUGUGUAAACUAGUAGUAUGCCUGGCACAAAGCAAGUACUUAAUAAAUGUUAUUUGUUGUUACAA